rnacentral:lncRNA from 10 species
UCAUCAUUUAACUCCCACUUAUAAGUUAGAACAUGCACAUACCAGCUCUUUAUAUGCCUAGUAGAAUUUGGCUGUGAAUCCAUCUGGUCCUGGCCUUUUUCUGGUUAUCAAUCUUGUGGAUGUAGAAUUGUUCAUGGUAUUCCCUGAUGAGGUCUCAGUCUUCCCGUGAGCCUCUGCCUCUGGACUGUGAACUUUAUUUGUCUUUUCGCGCUUUCACAAGAUCUUCUGAUGAAAAAAAAAGAAGUCCUAAUUUGAAGGUGGUUCAAAUUAUCUUUCUUUCCUUUGUGGUCUUGACUCCAUUUUUCACUAAAACGAAUCAAAACUCCUUGGAGAGAUGACCGAUUGCUGGGAAAAGACAGGGAAUGUACAAGAUGGACCUGGAACGUCUUUUGUGCCACAAAGCAAGAAGGUGCUCAAAGAGUAGUGAGAGUACAUCAAGUCAGCUUGAACAAGCUUCCACUGGCCAAAUUGGGGACAAUUUGAACAUCAAAAUAAACAAUGACAAAAGUAUAGUAUAGGCUAUUGGAUAAAAUAGAAAACCAUUUGACAUUUACAUACUUCCAAAGUACCUUCCCACAAAAUACUUAUUAAUUACAAAGGGGAAAAUAGUAAAUUUAUAGUGAAGGAGCUUGGCAAAAUAGCACCUUAAUCAAGUGAUCAAAGAGAUCAUUACUGAUAAUGGGACAAACUGAAAUUGUGCAGCAUCUGAUAGGAUUCAUUAAGAAUCCAGCAUAACUUCUGUCAUAUUCCUCCAAAAGAUGUACAAUCUGAAUCUAAUCGUGAGGAAGCACCACACAAACCUGGCUUGAGAGACAUUAUACAAAAUAAUUGACCUGUAAUCCCCAACAGUGUCAAGGUCAUGAAAGACAAGGAAACUAGGAAAUGCUUCAUACUCAAGAAUACUAAAGACAAAUGACAACUAAGUCUGAUUCUAAAGGUAUCAUUUUCUAUGAAAAACAUUAUUGAGACAACUAAUGAAACUUAAAUGAGGUCUGAGGAUUAUAUGAUACUGAUACAGCAAUAUAGGGUUUCUGUUUUGGUGGUAAUUAAGGAAAAUGUCUUUGUAGGAAGUAGACAUAAACUAUUUGGUAGUAGUAAGGCAUUAGGUCAGCAACUUGCUCUCAAAUGGUUAAGGAAAAAAAUUUAUUUGAAUAUGUUUCCAACUUUUCUGUAAUUUUGAUUGUUUUGAAAUACAUACACAUUCAUAGACAUAGAUAUAGAUAUAAUAGAUAUAGAUAUAAAGCUGCUAAGAUUUUUACUGGGCAUGCUUAGUUUUGAUAUAUCAACUUGAGGAGUAUUAAUAUCUUACCAAAAUUUAGUCUUUCAAUCUAUGAACAUGGUGUAUUUCUCUGUGUAGCUGUUCUUUCAAUAAUAUUUUAUGUCUAUCUGGACAGCGGAUUUGUACUUCAGUUAGAUUUAUGCCUGAAUAUAUAACUUUUUCAUACAAUUUUAAAUAGUAUAUUUCUUUAUUUUACUUCCUAUUUUUUUGUUGCUGACUGAUAGAAAUGCAAUUGAUUUCUGGCUGUCAACUUUGUAUCUGAAAACCUUGCCAAAUUAUUUAAUAUACCUAAUAAAUCACCUGCACAUUCUUUUAUAUUUUCUUCAUACCCAAUCAUAUCACCUACAAAUAAGAGUAUCUAAACUUUACGCUUUUGUUAUUUUUCAUGCUAUAUUUAGCUGGCUAGUUUCUUCAAUAUAUUUUUAAUAAAUUUAAAGGAUAUCCCUACUGACUCCCAUCUCAGAAGGAAAGGGUUCAACAUAGUACCAUUAAGUAUGAUGUUUAUUGUAUUCUCUUUAUCAAUAGAGACUGUUCCCUUAAUCCAUUUCUAGUUUGCUAAAAUUUGCUCAUGAAUAGAUGUUGAAAGUUGACUGCUUUUUCUGCAUUAAGAUUUUCUUCUUCAUAACAUGCUUAUUUUGUAGUCUUCAUUUGAUAAUCCUAUUGUUUAAAGUACUUUAAGAUCUGAAUUCUCUCAUUUGUGUUUCUGCUCUUUCUUGCAUUGGAUUUUCUUUGUCUUCAUCUAUUUUGUAGUUUGCAAUAAAUUUAAAUAAAUAUAUAUAAUUUUAUAUAAAACUUUAUAUUUUGGGUUUGUCAGUGAGAAUAAUGUUUAAUCUAGAUUUUAGGUGUGUCGUUUCAAGGAAGUUCUACAAUUG